rnacentral:rRNA from 1 species
UAGGGAAUCUUCCACAAUGGACGCAAGUCUGAUGGAGCAACGCCGCGUGAGUGAAGAAGGUCUUCGGAUCGUAAAACUCUGUUAUUAGAGAAGAACACGAGUGAGAGUAACUGUUCAUUCGAUGACGGUAUCUAACCAGCAAGUCACGGCUAACUACGUGCCAGCAGCCGCGGUAAUACGUAGGUGGCAAGCGUUGUCCGGAUUUAUUGGGCGUAAAGGGAACGCAGGCGGUCUUUUAAGUCUGAUGUGAAAGCCUUCGGCUUAACCGGAGAAGUGCAUCGGAAACUGGAUAACUUGAGUGCAGAAGAGGGUAGUGGAACUCCAUGUGUAGCGGUGGAAUGCGUAGAUAUAUGGAAGAACACCAGUGGCGAAGGCGGCUACCUGGUCUGCAACUGACGCUGAGACUCGAAAGCAUGGGUAGCGAACAGGAUUAGAUACCCUGGUAGUCCAUGCCGUAAACGAUGAGUGCUAGGUGUUGGAGGGUUUCCGCCCUUCAGUGCCGGAGCUAACGCAUUAAGCACUCCGCCUGGGGAGUACGACCGCAAGGUUG